rnacentral:rRNA from 1 species
AUAAUUUUUCCUUUCCACUUGAACGCACCCGAUCUUGUCUGAUCUCGGAAGCUAAGCAGGGUCGAGCCUGGUUAGUACUUGGAUGGGAGACCAAAUUUUUUUAAAAUCACAGUAGCUUCUC